rnacentral:rRNA from 1 species
GGGUUUGAUUAUGGCUCAGAUUGAACGCUGGCGGCAUGCCUUACACAUGCAAGUCGAACGGUAACAGGUUAAGCUGACGAGUGGCGAACGGGUGAGUAAUAUAUCGGAACGUGCCCAGUCGUGGGGGAUAACGUAGCGAAAGCUACGCUAAUACCGCAUACGAUCUACGGAUGAAAGCGGGGGAUCGCAAGACCUCGCGCGAUUGGAGCGGCCGAUAUCAGAUUAGCUAGUUGGUGAGGUAAAGGCUCACCAAGGCGACGAUCUGUAGCUGGUCUGAGAGGACGACCAGCCACACUGGAACUGAGACACGGUCCAGACUCCUACGGGAGGCAGCAGUGGGGAAUUUUGGACAAUGGGCGAAAGCCUGAUCCAGCAAUGCCGCGUGCAGGACGAAGGCCUUCGGGUUGUAAACUGCUUUUGUACGGAGCGAAACGGCUCUCUCUAAUACAGGGGGCUAAUGACGGUACCGUAAGAAUAAGCACCGGCUAACUACGUGCCAGCAGCCGCGGUAAUACGUAGGGUGCAAGCGUUAAUCGGAAUUACUGGGCGUAAAGCGUGCGCAGGCGGUUAUAUAAGACAGAUGU